GAUGAACGCUGGCGGCGUGCCUAAUACAUGCAAGUAGAACGCUGAAGCUUGGUGCUUGCACCGAGCGGAUGAGUUGCGAACGGGUGAGUAACGCGUAGGUAACCUGCCUCUUAGCGGGGGAUAACUAUUGGAAACGAUAGCUAAUACCGCAUAAAAGUUGACAUUGCAUGAUGUUGAUUUGAAAGAUGCAAUUGCAUCACUAAGAGAUGGACCUGCGUUGUAUUAGCUAGUUGGUGAAGUAACGGCUCACCAAGGCGACGAUACAUAGCCGACCUGAGAGGGUGAUCGGCCACACUGGGACUGAGACACGGCCCAGACUCCUACGGGAGGCAGCAGUAGGGAAUCUUCGGCAAUGGGGGCAACCCUGACCGAGCAACGCCGCGUGAGUGAAGAAGGUUUUCGGAUCGUAAAGCUCUGUUGUAAGAGAAGAACGAGUGUGAGAGGGAAAGUUCAC
rnacentral:rRNA from 1 species